rnacentral:rRNA from 1 species
AGUGAACGCUGGCGGUAGGCCUAACACAUGCAAGUCGAACGGCAGCACAGUAAGAGCUUGCUCUUACGGGUGGCGAGUGGCGGACGGGUGAGGAAUACAUCGGAAUCUACUUUUUCGUGGGGGAUAACGUAGGGAAACUUACGCUAAUACCGCAUACGACCUACGGGUGAAAGCAGGGGAUCUUCGGACCUUGCGCGAUUGAAUGAGCCGAUGUCGGAUUAGCUAGUUGGCGGGGUAAAGGCCCACCAAGGCGACGAUCCGUAGCUGGUCUGAGAGGAUGAUCAGCCAAACGGGAACUGAGAAAAGUUACAGACACUGACGGGAGGCAGCAGUGGGGAAUAUGGGAAAAGGGGCGCAAGCCGGAGCCAGACAGACCGCGUGGGUGAAGAAGGCAUUGGGGUGGUAAAGCCCGUUUGUUGGGAAAGAAAAGCAGCAGGUUAAUACCCCGCUGUUCUGACGGUACCAAAAGAAUAAGCACCGGCUAACUUCGUG